rnacentral:rRNA from 1 species
UACGAAGGGGGCUAGCGUUGUUCGGAAUUACUGGGCGUAAAGCGCGCGCAGGCGGUUCUUCAAGUCAGAGGUGAAAGCCCAGAGCUCAACUCUGGAAUGGCCUUUGAGACUAGAGAACUAGGGUACGGGAGAGGUGAGUGGAAUUCCGAGUGUAGAGGUGAAAUUCGUAGAUAUUCGGAAGAACACCAGUGGCGAAGGCGACUCGCUGGACAGGUAUUGACGCUGAGGUGCGAAAGCGUGGGGAGCAAACAGG